rnacentral:rRNA from 1 species
AUGCAUCUUCCAUGUACUUUCGGUCCAAGAGCCAUCUUCCUUCUAGUGCACACGGAUAAGCCUAAGCUAGUCUUUCUUUCUGAAACUCAGAAAAGCGAUGAUUAUGUGAAUAAACUGAGAUGGAGGCUAGGCCUUCGGCAUUGUAUUGUGCAACCUGGAAUUGGCAAGAGCACCGGGAUUGCAUUGUUC